rnacentral:rRNA from 1 species
GACGAACGCUGGCGGCGUGCUUAACACAUGCAAGUCGAACGGAAAGGCACUGCUUUUGUGGGGUGCUCGAGUGGCGAACGGGUGAGUAACACGUGAGUAACCUGCCCUUGACUUUGGGAUAACUUCAGGAAACUGGGGCUAAUACCGGAUAGGAGCUCCUGCUGCAUGGUGGGGGUUGGAACGUUUCGGCGGUUGGGGAUGGACUCGCGGCUGAUCAGCUUGUUGGUGGGGGAGUGGCUUACCAAGGCUUUGACGGGUAGCCGGCUUGUGAGGGUGACCGGCGACAUUGGGACUGAGAUACGGCCCAGACUCCUACGGGAGGCAGCAGUGGGGAAUAUUGCACAAUGGGCGGAAGUCUGAUGCAGCAACGCCGCGGGCGGGAUGACGGCCUUCGGGUUGUAAACCGCUUUCGCCUGUGACGAAGCGUGAGUGACGGUAAUGGGUAAAGAAGCACCGGCUAACUACGUG